CCUACGGGAGGCAGCAGUGGGGAAUAUUGGACAAUGGGGGCAACCCUGAUCCAGCCAUGCCGCGUGUGUGAAGAAGGCCCUCGGGUUGUAAAGCACUUUCAGUGAGGAAGAACGCCUGGUGGUUAAUACCCAUCAGGAAAGACAUCACUCACAGAAGAAGCACCGGCUAACUCCGUGCCAGCAGCCGCGGUAAUACGGAGGGUGCGAGCGUUAAUCGGAAUUACUGGGCGUAAAGCGCGCGUAGGUGGCUUGAUAAGCCGGUUGUGAAAGCCCCGGGCUCAACCUGGGAACGGCAUCCGGAACUGUCAAGCUAGAGUGCAGGAGAGGAAGGUAGAAUUCCCGGUGUAGCGGUGAAAUGCGUAGAGAUCAGGAGGAAUACCAGUGGCGAAGGCGGCCUUCUGGACUGACACUGACACUGAGGUGCGAAAGCGUGGGUAGCAAACAGGAUUAGAUACCCGGGUAGUC
rnacentral:rRNA from 1 species